CCUACGGGAGGCAGCAGUGGGGAAUAUUGGACAAUGGGGGGAACCCUGAUACAGCGACGCCGCGUGAGUGAAGAAGUAAUUCGGUAUGUAAAGCUCUAUCAGCAGGGAAGAAAGAAAUGACGGUACAUGAAUAAGAAGCCGCGGCUAACUACGUGGCAGCAGCCGCGGUAAUACGUAGGGGGCAAGCGUUAUCCGGAAUUACUGGGUGUAAAGGGAGCGUAGACGGUUACGCAAGUCUGGAGUGAAAGGCGGGGGCGCAACCCCCGGACUGCUUUGGAAACUGUAUAACUGGAGUGCAGGAGAGGUAAGUGGAAUUCCUAGUGUAGCGGUGAAAUGCGUAGAUAUUAGGAGGAACACCAGUGGCGAAGGCGGCUUACUGGACUGUAACUGACGUUGAGGCUCGAAAGCGUGGGGAGCAAACAGGAUUAGAUACCCUUGUAGUC
rnacentral:rRNA from 1 species